UCACAGGCACGGACACGCGCGCAGGCAGCUGCCUCGGGCCGGGCGCGCGCAGCAGCGGGGAGGCCGCGUCUCCUGAGGUCAGCGGCGGCGGCUCCUGUGACGCAGGAGGGCUGCCCGGUAGCUGUGGGGAGGCGCUGCGGUGCGGGCGUCUGGGAGCCGCGCUCCAGAGUCCGCCCGACGGCGGCACCCGCAGCGCAGGUCGAUGGCACCGCGGCCGCGCCGGCCUCGAGGGUCUCGCAGUCACUGGGCCAGACCCCGCCGCCAGAGACGCAGCCUCCUGAACCCGCUCGCCGACUCCCUGCGACUCUCGGGCGGGACCAACGACCAGGCCACGCCCGACACACCGCGCAGCGCUCAGCGCGGACCCCGCAACCUCUCGCGCGACCGUGGCGGCGGGCCCGCUCUCUCCCCUGGCACCUUCUGACGAGCACGCGACCGAGAAAGCUUCAUUGGGUAACAGAAGCGUCCGUCAGGAGGGACGAGCGGAACUCCGCCCUCUCCCACCCCAUUUCCUCCGGCAGAGCGUCAUCAUUGGCCAGGAUCGCCGGAAGGGGUGUGGCCCUGCACCCACUGGCAUCCGGUUCUCCAGGAGGACGGGAGCGGGGCCUCGGCGGGGGCUUUCGGGUCGGGCCGAGCUGUCUCCUCCUCGGGGAGGUAGGUCUUGGCGAGCCCGCUGCCCCCGCAGCCUGACCGCAGGUGGCGUCCCUGGACGUGGAUGCCGCUGGACGUUGGCACGCUGCAAGGUGCGUCUCGGCACGUGCCAGGCUGCUUCACCCGCAUGGGUGCUCUGGGCCCCGCCCAGACGAUCUGGGGAAGCUGCAGGCCUGCCUGUCCGCCCGGGAGGGCCUCCCAGGCCCUGGAGGCUGCCGCACGGGGGCAGAGCCGGGGAGGGGCUGCGUGGGGCCAGUGUUUGUCCCCUGGGUCUCUGCUGGGCCCCAGGGUGGCCUGUUCCAGCUGGGGCCGCAGCCUGGGCACCCAGCGUCCUUCCCAGAGGGUGGGGACGCCUCCCAACAGUGCCGUCCGCCCGCGGCUCCAGGUGCGCAAGGCUUGGCCUUGGGUUUCCCUGGCUCCCCUGGGCCCCUGGUGCUGCCCUCCGCCCUCCGCCCCGGCCUUCUCCUUGGAGGUUUGUCCCUGCCCCCUGUGAGUUAAGGCGCUGAGCCCUGAGUCACAUCCUGCUGCUAAUUUCUCCCCACGGUGUCACUUGCCUCUCAGAGUUGCGGUUUGGGGCUUGUGUUUGGUCAGGCAGAAGGUCUGCUUUUCGUGUCAUCGCAACUUCCAGACGUUUCCCGAGGCUUUCUGCAGUCUCUGGGGAUUGGUUUGCUCCGGGCUUGUGUAGAGUGACCUUCCCCGUCCACAGGGGUGCCCUGGCGCCCAAGGCAGCAUCACAGGUCCCGCCCAGCGGCCCCCUUUCACGCAAGCUCCGCUCUGUGUCUGCCGACUUGCCCAGCCUUGGCUCCCGAGGGGUUCUCUGGGCAGCGGGCGUCCUGCUCGGGGUCCUCCUCUCUCUUCCCGCCUAGGUCAAGGCCACAGCCCUGUGAUCGGACACAGGUGGUGCUGCUCGCUUCCAAGCUGGGCUCCGGGGCUGUUGGCAGGAGUGCCAGCUCCUCUCCACGGGGCGCUCAGGAGACGGGGCUUCGCCAGCGCCCAUGGAAGCCUGGGAGCAGGAGGGAGCCCCAGGGCCAAGCUCAUCUCCCUGUGUCCUCAUCUCCCAGGGCUCGCGCCGUCCGCCGCGUGACCCACCUUGGUCUCUGGGGUCAGCCCUGAAGAGUGCAGGGGAGGAUGAGGCGCAGACCUCUGGGAGAGGGGUGGGGGUGGGGUGCCACCCAUCGGAAGAAGGCCAGAGGGGUUCCUCUGCCCGCUGCCUACGUGUCCACUCCUGGUCCUGAGCAGCAGGCCUUAGGAAUGGGCCCGGGGUGCAAGCGAGGCUGCCCGGCCGGGUACUCUGGGACCCUGGUGGCCCGGCCUGGGCGGCGGAGUGGCUUUCCGACCUCGGGGUGUUGCACGGUGAAAUGCAGAGAACGCACACACAGAAAGGAGAGUGGGCCCAGAGACACCAUGUGGACGUGGGGCCGGCCUGGCGUGCUCUCCGGCAUUUGACGGAAGCUGGGCCGUGCCCGGGGAGUCCUGCUCAGAACAGGGCCCUGGGCCCUCCUCUCCGGGCAGCCUGUGCAGCCUGCCCACCUCUGGGGCCCCCACCCCGUGGCUCACACCUUCCCCACAGCCCGGCCCCUGGGUGCGGGCGCCCCUCUGCACCCACGGGAGCUCCCCCACCCCACGCAGUCGGGAGGGGCAGGGCGGGGCUGGGAGAGGUGGGGGCCUCGUGCUCAGGGUGCAGCUGACAGGCCCCUGUUCUACGGGGACCCUGCGAGGUGAGCAGGGCCUGGGCUCGGGCGGUGGGGGGCACCCCAGGGAGGAGGCGGUGGGGUGGGGAAGGAGCUUCUCACUUCCUGCAGGGGAGCACAUUGGAUGUCCUCUCUGGGACAUGUGCCCCAGCCUUCCUGGGCGGGUCCCGCAGCUCCCUUCCCAGCGAGGAUCUUGCCCUCUCUUCUACGUCGGCCCCAAGCUGCUGUGGUGGCAAGCGCAGUUGCUCUUGGCUCUGGACACCGGGGAAUGCCAGGGGCCUUGGGGGUAGCUGCCGGCCCCUCCAAGGCCGUCUCCCAGCUCUGGAGCCGCAGGAGAGCAGGUGGCUGGGCCUCCCCUCCAGCAGUGUGUUGGCACCUAGGGGUGGAUGGCCAGCACCCGUGUGUCUGACCCAGGGGCCCUAGGAAUCCUGUGCCUUCGCUCAGGCCUGGUGGACUCGCUGUGCAUUCUCUGCCUCUCCCUCUGAGCACAGCUCAGAUCCAGUGGGGGAGCGGGGGAGCCCAAGAAGGGCAGGGUAGCCCUGUCCCUGAGGGCCCAGGCCAGGCCUCCACAGCCCUGUGCUGCUUUGCCCCCAGGGCCUCCCCAGCUGUGCCCAGUCGGGGCCUCCACUCUAAGGAUGCUGGCCCUGCCCUCGGGAAUACCUGAUGACCUGAGGGCUCGGUGCCCCACGGACUCUCUUCAGCUUUGACAGUGCUGCCUGGGGGCCUGCGCACACCUCUGGCUGCAGUCACCUAGGGCUGGGGGCCCUGGCUGGUGAGCGCUCUGCCCUGGGUGUAAGUGGGUGGCAGGCCGUGUCUGGGGAGCAGGUACCCUGAGCCCCAUGUCUCCUGUGCUGGGCGCCCGGUACCACUGAUUGCAGUGGCUGGGGCUCCUACCCUGCAGGGUGUGUGGGACCUCUCUCUAGGGGCCUCUGGCCCCUCUCCUCACCUGGGUCUCCUUCCAGCACCGUGGGGUCAGGGGAACGGGGCUAUGGGGAGGUUGGGAUGUAGGCAGUGGGGUGGCAGUGCAGAGGGAGGGCAGUGGGGCCCUACUGCCUGCCCAUGGUCCUGGGACUCGGUGCAGGCUGAAUUUCCAGUUUGGGAGCAGUGCUCCCCACUGGGACGACCGGCCCAUCCUCUCCCUGGUCUCAGUGGGCGAGGUGUGGCCAGACCAGGGAGGUGGGGUGCGGGGACCUCCCUUUGGUCUGGCCACCUGGUGGUCCUUGAGGGGCCAGGUGGGACUGAGCCCGCACCCCGCAGCUCUGGGUGGGAGACACUGCAGUGCUCCUCGCCUGGGUCCCAGCCUCGCCUGCAGGCCCCUGGCCAGGGCGAGGUCCCAGUGUCACCCCGUCCUGGCCCACUCCCUGGUAGCCUCCAGCUCCUCACUUGGUCUGUCCUGCAGCCUCUGCCAGGGUACCCCUUGGGCCUGGCUCCUACCACCCCCUCACUCCCACCACGUUGGCAUCCUCUUCCCUCAAAGCCCCAUGGUCUCCUGGGUACCUGGGUGUUAUGGGCAGGGAGGGGACGGGGGCAGGUGCUUGGCUGGACUCAGCUCUGAGGCUGUUCCCCCCUCCCCGGGGCAGUGUGAGGUGAGGGGUCCUGCCAGGGAAGAUGUGGGGCAGGAUGUCCCCUUUAGGUGAGGGCAGGGGGCUCAGGUGAGACAGGACAGGACAUGGGUGCCCCAGGGUGCAGAGUCCUGGGUGCGUCAUGAGGAGAGGGCAAAGCCUCAGGAGCCCUCAGGACCUGGCCCUGCGCCCCCACCCUGUACCAGCUGGGAAGCUUCAGGGGCUUCCGGAAUGUGCCCCCCUUCUCGGCAGCCUAGCAACGGCUGGCUGUGUCUGCCUGGGACAGGCCGGCCCAGCCUGAGGCAACAGUUCAGCCCAGGACAGACAGAUGGACAGGUGAGGGCAGGCUGUGUGGCUCCUCCCUGGCAACACGGGGACAGCGAGGUGAGGGGGGAGCCCUCGCUGAGGCCCGGGGUUGGCCCGUGUGUCCAGAGCCUGGUCCUCUCUGUCCCCUGCUCUGUGCAGCUCCUGACCACCCAAGGCUGCAAGGGGCACGACGAGGGGGCCGGCUGCGGGGGAGGAGGAGGAGGAGCUGAUCCCAGAGCCGACCUUGGAGCCCGGAACCCUGAUUCCUGGCUCCUGCCUGCAGGAGGACUUGGCCAUUGUGCAUCUGGGGUGCAUUCUCAGGGCAGGAGGUGGCCUGAGCGGGAGUGGGAGCCCGUGGCAGGGCAAGCAGAGGCGGCUGUUGAGCCAGGGGCUGAGGGCCCCCGUGCACUGAAGGCAAGAGGGGGUUGGGCCGAGGGCCUCCUGCUGUGUGCGUGUGCGUGCGUGUGUGUGUGUGUGUGCGUGUGUGUGUCUGUGAGAGAGAGACAGAGAGAGAGAGAGAGAGUGUGUGGAGGGGGAGGGAUGAGGCUGCUUCCCCAGAGUGGGUCCUUUGUCACUGGUUCACUGGGGCCAUGAGCCCCACAGCCAGCCCCUUGGGGCAGGGGCCUCACGACUGCCCCUUCUGAGCGUCUGGGACAGGCCCACAGCCUGCUAUGAGUCCAGGGACUGCUCAGGGGGCCCCACAGGUCUUCAACUCCAGCAGGGAGCCUUCCCCGUCCCCACCCUGCCCAGCACCCAGCCCCCGGCCCCCAGCAGCCUGUUCUCUCCCUAGGCCUCUCUCUGGGGGUGCUCCAGCUCUGCCCUCUACCUGGGUCUCCAUGCAGGCAGACAGGGCUUCCUGGAGUCAGGGGCUGUGCAGGAGCAGGAGGUCCUGGGCACCAGGAGGGGCCACACAGAGACCCAGCAGCCUGGGCCGGGCCACACGCCUGCCCUGCUGGCGCGCUCGGCAGGUUGGCCUUGGCCCAAGCCCCUUCCCAGCCGCCGGCUCCAAGAAAGCCACAGCCACGCAUGGGAGAAUGGAAGCAAAACUUUAUUCCUCUUGGCUGGGGAAGAAGACUAGUGGGCGGUCGUGGCCAGGACCCCUACGCCCUCCCCUCCCGGAACCCAAGAAGACAGGCGGCGCCACCGAUCGGCUCCCUCUGCCCAAGUGAAAGCCAAGAGGCCAGCCGGGGAGGCAGGUGAGCGCAGCGCGGGGCAGGGGCCACUGCAGUGACAGGGUGGCCGGGGCAGGCCGGAGGGCUGGGCGGGGGGACGGGGAGAGCCUGGGGGAGGGGCCGGGGGGCUGCUCGGGCAGGAGAGCAGGCGUGGGUGGGGGCACUUCUCGUCCUGGCGGCGCUGGCCGGCGGGGGCACCGGGCUCAGGGCACCAGGACGCGGUAGGGGCUGCCCGGGAUGUGCUCGUCGCCCCACUUGACCACCAGCGUGUACUCCCCCUUGUCCUUGAGCAGGUAGGAGACGCUGUAGAGCCGGCUGCCCACGUGCUUCACCAGGAUCUCCUCGCAGGGCGUCCUCGGGCCGUGAACCCCGACCAGCAGCAUGUUGUUGCCUGAGGUAGGGACGGGCCUCGGUCACGGGCCCCGCUGCUGACCGCGCCCAGCCCUCCUCCCCGUCUCCCUCCCUGCCUGAGUGGCAGGGGCCGCUCCAGCCGCUGCUCCCGGCCAGCCCUUUCCUCUCCUGAGGGUAGAGAAGGCGGGGGCCCGGGGCUGGCCGUCCCGUGUCCUCGGGGAGGCCGGGGCGGCCCCAGCUGCCCACCUGCUUUGCUGCAGUCCACCGUGAAGCUGCUCUUCUGGCCUGCGUAGGCCUUGCUCAGCCCCAGGCCCUUGGCCACCACUUUGCUGGCAUCGGCAAGGCCUGGGCCCGCGGCGGCGUGCUGGGGGGCGCCCGUGGCCUUGGUCAGGGAGUCCACAAACACUGAGGACGUCUCGUGGAGGCUGUGGUUGCUGACGAGACGGGGGCCUGCAGGGCACAGCGGGUGGGGCUGAGAGGGGGUGCGAGCGCCUGGCGUCGGGUGGCCACCAGCAGCCUGGCCGUAGGCUCACCUGUGACUUUGGCCUUGAAGGGGCUGCCCCCAAUGUGGUAGGGCCCGCCGUACUUGAUGGAGAUGAGGUAGCUGCCGGGCGCCAUGGGAGUGUAGGUGACGCGGUAGCCCUCGGGGCACUCCUGGCAAUCCAUCUUCACCUUGGAGGGCCCGUCGAUGGUCACCGAGAGGGCACCGGCUCCCGCGUUGGUCGUGUUCACAAUAAACUCAGCCGGGCUCCCUGUGAGCACGGGAGGUCAGGCAGAGCCGGCCCGGCCUGGUGACCCCGUCCUGUCCCGCCCCCAGCUGCCGGGCCUGUGCUGUCCCCCCACCCCGGCCGUCCACCCCAGACGUCGCCGGGAGCUCGGCCCUGGCAGCCUCAGCCACGCCCAGAGCUGCAGCCGAGGACCCACCUGUGACGCCGCCUUCCAGGCCCGCUCCGUAGGCGGACACCAUGCCUGGGUCCCCUCCGUGCCCAGGCUCCCCCACUCGGAUCUUGAAGGGGCUUCCAGGGAUGUGGGUGCCGUUGAACUUGACGUCAAUCAGGUAGAUCCCAUUCUCCCGUGGGAUGAAGCGCACGGCAUACUUAUCUGAGGAGCAGAAGGGCACGCUGCGGGCCUGGGGGUUCUGUCACCAGCAUGUAGCCUCCGAGAGGACAGCCUCGGUCCUGGCCUGCCCCGUCCUCCCCCCACACCCUUAGCCCGCGUCCCCUCCGCUUCCUCUGGGGCCCUGCUGGGCGCCCACACCCGGCAGCACACACCUGCAGAAGGCUGAGGGCGGAGGCUCUAGACACCCAAGCAGCCUGCCAUCGAGGCUCAGAGGCACGGAAAUCGUCCACCGGCCAAACAGCCGCCUCAUCUCACGGCCGGCCUCCCCUGAACGGCUACCGUGAGUGCCACACUCCCCGCCCGUGAACCGGGGCUCAUGGACGGGCCGGAACUUGCUUCGGGUCAGGCAGCCGGCAAGGGGCAGGACUGCGCGGUGACACUGGUGUGCUUGAGCCUACUGCAGGUGCCAUGCGCCUGGCGAAGGGCCCGGCAGCCCUGUGGCUACACUGGGGGCCGUCCCUCUGCAGACACACCGCGUCGCGCUGCCCCACGAAAGGCCUUCUUCCCAGUGGCCGUGGCUGGCGAGCUCAUGGCCGAGGCCUUGGGCCACCGGUCGGGGAGGGCUCCCCUGUCCCCUGAUCGAGGGGGCCCUGCAGCCGUCGGGGGGCCCCGUGCUGGGCGCCAACAGAAAGUCUGUACCUUCCUCACGUACUCUCAGCCUGCUUCCAGCCGGCUGGCCGGGCUUUGGGGAGGCCCGCUGCCCCCGCUGGGGCCCGUGCAGGUAGGUGGCCGGGUGGCCGGACAGGGACAGGGCCUCACCUUGGUCAAUCUCUGUGACAUAGCACUCCUCCAGGGCUCCCGAGGGGCUGUGCACCUUGGCAUCAAUCGCCCCCUUGGCCCCGUUCAGGCUGACUGCAAAAGAGGCUGGCUGGUUGACCUUUAGCCCUGACUCCUGGAAGCACAGCAGACGAGGUUAGAUGGGGUGGCGGGGACCGGGCACGGGGCCGGUACAUGGCCCCAGAGUUGGGAGGCCCCAGGGCUCACACUUACCCAUCUGGCGUCCAACUUGGUUUAAAGAGGGAGAGCCACUGAUAUGCUAGGGGCAGCAAGCUUCAGACAUAGGUUCCCCCACCACGCUACCCCACCCCUCCCCCACCGCCCAGACCCCUGAAGUCACAGGGCCCCCACAGCUGGAAGGACAGUGGCCCCACCCUGGCAGGCUUUCCCUCUUUAAACCUCAGCCCUGGUGCUCAAGGGGCACAGGCUCCUGUUCAAAGCCUUUAGACCUGAGACACGAGAAAAACUCCACGCGGUGGGCAGGGUGCUUCCUGCCAACCCCAAGUGCGGGUUGGACCCGGCCAGAGCAGGGGCCCGAGGCCCAGAGCUGGGCCGGCUGGGUUACUGGGCACAGAACCCUGGCCUGUGCUUCGCGGUGCCUCUGGUCUGGCCGGGCCCAGGAGCCCCAGGUGGCCAGUUUCUCUCAGUGCCUCACCUGAAGACUAGAAACAGUAAGGCGGCGGGCAUCGCCGGACGGAGAAGCCACAGGCACCACGAAAGGACUGUCAGGGAUGUGCUCCUCGUUGAACUUGACCGACACCUCGUAGUCACCUGGCAGGGAGAGGACACGAGGCUAUCCUGGGCCAGCCCAGGCCAGGCACGAUGGGAGGUCUGGCUCCUCGGAGGCUGGGCCUCCUGCCUGCCCCACCAACAGCCCGGGGCGGGGCGUUCUGAGGCUUCGAGGCAGGUGGUGGGUGGUGGGGGCCCCAGGGUGGUGGGGAAGACAACCCCGGCUCCCUCCCUGAGGACCUGCUCCAGCCCCGGCCAGGCCCCCGGUACCUGGCUCCUGGACCACGUAGGCCACACCACAUGAGCCGUCCUUGCGGUCCUCAAAGGAGAUCUCGGCCUUGCUGGGGCCCUCGACGGCGAUGGCCAGGCCCCCGGCGCCAGCUUCCCUGGUCCAGAUGCUGAAUUCGGCUGUGGAGAGCGGUAUUUCCUCCUGGAGGGUUGCGCCUCUGCCCUCAGCCCCUCGCCAUGGCCCCGAUGGCGUGGCUGCCGGCAGCCUCCCCCCCACUGCCCCCGGGCACCCAGAAGAGCAAGAGCUGGGUGGGCAAGCGGGCCUACCUGGCACUCCGGCUUCAGCCCUCUCCAGGCCAGGGCCCCCAGCACGAACCUUGUGGGCUCCUCCUUCCCCCAGGGGCCCCACGGUGAACUGGAAGGGGCUUCCAGGCACGUGCUGGCCCUUGUACUUGACACUGACUGUGUGCGUGCCCAUCUCAGCAGGCACAAAGCGGAUACAGUAGGUGUGGUUCUCGCCUUCCACGAUCUCGGCCUCGUGGCUCUUGCCCGAGGGGCUGGUCACCUGUGCGGUCAUGUCCUGGAUGCUGAUUUCUGCAGGGAGGAGGUGGCCCGGUGGGUAGGAGGUCUGUGCCCCCACCUGCUCCCAGCAGCCCUCCCUGGCUCCCCACAGCCCCUACCAGGGAUCUUGAGGCUGAGGUCGCAGUGACUGCCAACGUUGGCCACCGAGGGGGCCCGCCGCCUGCGUGUGAUGCUCUCUUUCACCCGGCCCUCGCCUGUCACUUUCACGGAGAAGGGGCUGCCUGCAGGGAGAGAGUGCGGCCCAUGCCCCGCGCGGGUUACACCCGGGUGCGGUAGGGCUGGGGGGAGGGCGGGGCUGCACUGUCACCACACCUACCAGGCACAUGCUGGUCAGCGAACUUGAUGUUGAUGAUGUAAUUGCCGGGUUCCGUGGGGCAGUAGGUGACCCUACACGUGCCGUCUUCCAGGUCUUCCGUGUUGAUGUCCACCUUGCUGGGACCCUCGAUGGACAGGCUGAGCCCCCCGUAGCCUGGGCGAUGGACAGCCCUGAGCCAGGCUGCCCAGCGCCACCCACGUCCCCCGCCCCCGCGGGCCCGCCUCCGCCACCUACCUGCGUCUCGAGUGUCGAUGAUAAACUCCGCGGGCUCAAAGGUGCGGCCCUCGUGGAGGCCCUGGCCGGACACGCGCACGCGGCUGGCAUCCCCGAUCUCCGACUGGCUGAUCACCACCGGGAUGGGGCUGCUUGCCACGUGCUGCCCGUUCUUCUUCACGUGCACCAGGUGCUCCCCUGUCUCCUUGGGCACGAAUGAGAUCCCUGGGCACGGGGCGGGGCUGUCAGCGGGGGCGGGCGCGGACACCCCCACCCACGCCCGCCCACACAGCCGCUCUUCCUCCGCAGUCCCCUCAGCCUCUCACCCACGUGGCCGUUCCGCAGCCGCUUCAGCAGGCAGGGCUCCUCCCUGCCCGAGGGCGGCACCACGGUGGCCGUCAACAGGCUGAGGUCCGUCUCCGAGAUGUUGAUGGGGAUGUCGGCCGCAGAGCCCACCUUCAGGUGGGACAUCCGCAUGGAGUCGUCACCUGCGGGGGCGGCGGGGGGCGGCCAUCCGUCACCGCGCGUCGGGCCGCAAGGGGAGAGCACGCCCACCCCCGCUCCCAGUGCCACCCACCUGUGACCCUGGCGGUGAAGGGGCUGCCUGGGAUGUGCUGCUCGUUGUACUUGACCAGGAUGCUGUAGUCGCCGGGCAGCACGGGCAGGUAGGAGACGCUGCACGUCCCGUCCUGGUUGUCCGUACAGCUGAUUUCCGCUUUGGAAGGCCCCUCGAUGGCCAGCGACAAGCCCCCUGGCCAGAGGUGCGGGUGAGGGUGGGCACCGUGCCCGGGGACACGCCGCCACGCCUGCUGAGGAGGAGCCCCGCUGGUGGGGCGGGGCGGGGCGGGGGCCGGCAGGCGGGGCUACCCCGUUAGGGACCCCGCCCACGUUCAGCCCUCAGCCGCCCCAGUGGGGAGGUCCCGGAUGCCCAGCACGCGCCGCUCACCUUCUCCCGCGUCUUUGGUGUUGACGGUGAACGUGGCGGGCUUGUUGACCACUCCGUGACUGAGGCCGGGCCCGUAGGCAGUGACGUGGCCGCAGUUGACGUAAUCCACGUAGAACUGCAGGGGGCUCCCUGAGGCGGGAAGGGGGCCGUGUCAAACGGCAGCCUCAUGUGCCUCCACCCCCACCUCUCUGCGAGAUGGCGGUGGCAGCGGCCGGCCAGAGGCAGGGUGGCCCACCUGGGAUGUGCAUGUUGUCGUAGCGGAUGUCCAUCUCGUGCAGGCCAGCCUCGCUGGGCGCAUAGCGCACGGUCACGGUGCCGUCCUUGUUGUCAGUGAUGGAGGGCUGUGCCACCUUGCCUGAGGGCAUGCGGACCUCCCCUGCGGGGCAGCGGGGCAGCGGGGCAGCGGGGCAGCGGAGCUGGGUCAGGGCCGCCCAGUGGCUCGCCCCGGCCGCCCGGGCUCCCGCGCUCCUUCCCGCCUCACGCUCACCGGUGAUCUCGCCCUUCUUGAUGGUGAAGGGGAUGACGAGGUCAAAGGGCCUCAGGCUGGUCACGUCCAGCCCGUUGACACCCACCAGGGGCCUCUCUGGGGCCUGCAUGGAGACACGGGGCCCAGGUAAGUGGCUGUGGGGGCACGUGGGGGUCCCUCCUCGCAGGUGGCAGAGCGGCCGGGGCCCAUGGGACUCCCUGCCCACCAGCCCUGAGCAUCUCCUUGGGCCGGGCGAUCCGCGAGGUGGUGAGCCCUGCCGUACCCAGGUCUGCUGGCCACCCUGGGCAUAGGUGUACUGUGGGGCCAGCUGCUGAGGCCGUAACGGGGGCUGUGCCGCGGGCUGUUCCCCAGCCAGAGCCUGUGGAGCAGAGCAGGAGCUGGAGAGUCUGUUGUCGCAGCGGGGCCCUGGGGGACGGGCCAGGCUGGACCUGUCAAGAGCCCCCUGCAUCCUGCCCCCGGGCCCUCCUUACCGUCACUUGGAAGGGGCUGUUACAUGUGGGUACACCAUUCCAAGAUCCAGUCAGUUGAGGUUUUGGGCUCAUCUCGUGAUUUAGGACCUUCCUCCCUCAGGUGUCACCUGAUGUCCUGCCUCUGCUGUCUGAUUUCCUCCCCAUCUUGGGGGUGCUGUAGUGCAUGUGGCCAGUGGUGUGGUGGCUCCUGGGUGCCAGCCGUGGAGGGAGAGAACUGGUACUGGAGACAGUGCCUGAAGCGGCUGCUGCCCCUCUGCACCCCCCUGCAACACUGGAGCCCUGUAGAAUGUGGGUAGGGUUGUAGCUGCGCCCUUGGGAGCGGGGGUCCUGGAGGCUUCAGCAGCUGAAAGAGGCGAGCCCCGAGUCCUUUGGAGCGUUGAGAGGUCACUGUAGCUCUUUAGAGCCUCAGAGAACAUUUACCUGGAGGCCUGGAGACCUUGAUUUCCCCAUGAGAACCACAGAGCUUCCCUCAGCCUUAUGCUUGGGGUACCCAGAGUGCUUGGGUGAUUUCUCAGUCAGGUGUCUCUGUGUGGCCCAGAGCCUUGAGGAUUGGGUAGAGCACAGGGUCGAGGAUUGCAGAGCCCUUAGGGACAUAGAUAGGGCAGAAGUGCCCCAAGGCUCAUAGAGCCCUGGACAGUGGCAGCCAAGCCCAAGUGGCAGGUCUCAGGAGGGUAAGGGGUGCUCACAGGAUGUCUGGAGUGGAGCCCUAGGGAGCCAGAACCAGGAAUUUUAUCUUGUCCUAGGCUAUGAAUGGGGAGACCUGGGGGCACUUGCAAAAUGAAGGAAAAGAGCAGACUCUCACAUGCCUGGCAGCUCUUUCCUUCCUUCCCUCAUGCCAGACAGCAUAGUGAUUGCCAGGCACACCCAACAAGUUGCGGCCAUCCUCCGCACUUUCACUGGGGCCUAGAUGGCUGUUUUGUCCCAAACGUUCUUCCGUCUCCUUCCUCUCAUGCUGUCUCUUGUCUCUUCCACACCAUAUGCUACUCAGAACUUUCUGGUAUCGUGCUCGCCAGCACAAGCCCCAUGUGCUUUCCUGCUAGGCUCUGCUUACCUCUCUGCCCCAGGCCCUGGCAGGCUCCCACGCAGUGCAUGCUGACUGGUGGAACAAGCCCUCUCGUGUGACUUCCGACUGGCUGUUCAGGCAGGAGCUUGCUACUGCAUCCUUCUCAAGUCCUGGUGUGGGCCUGUUUGUUCUGCUACCCCAUGAUGAGGCUUACUGAUAUCAUUAGGUGCCUACUGUCCACCUACCCAAGCCCACCACCCACGGUGGACCAUCUGUCUGGGUUUCUGCCCUCCUGCAGAGCCUGAGGAGUCCAUACAACAAGGGGCUGGGGGGUGAGGGACAAGCCAGAUGCUGGGGACUUGGGAGUCAGACCAGGGAGGCUGAGGCUGUGUGGUUAAGAAAAUUAGAAGUGACUCAUUCUUUUCUGCCUAUCUUCAGUGUAGAAAAACCAUGUGUUACUUUUUAGGAUCACCAACCAUGUGGGGAGAAGCUGAGUUGCAGCACAGAAAUGGUCAGGAGCGUGUGGGAGGUGUCCAAAGCCCAGCCACGCCACACAGUCACAAUGUGGCCAUAGCCAAGCAAGAGUCCCUGGGGCUCGGGAGCCCAAGGUGCAUGUACGGGCACCACACAGGCACUGCACAAAAUGAGACCAGGUUGAGUCCCACAGCCUGCAGUGGGGGGUAGAUGGGACGCAAAAGGGACCAAUGCCAAGGCCCUAGCCCUUACUGGGCCUCUGCCUCCUACCUGGGGUAGGAUGCCCGCCCUGCCCUGUGCUUUUCCACCCUUUGCAGGCAGCAGAAAGCCAGGUGUGCCAGGUAUUGCCAGUCAUUCUAUCCUGAGUCUCUUUAGCACCCCCUUUUAAAAAAUACAUGUAAAGAUUAUGAAAUAUAUAACAAGAGCUGAAAGGUUGGAAGGUGAGCUGAGGAACGACCUUCCAGACCCACCACCAAGAUGGCUUGUUUACGUUCUAUCCUAAUGCCCUUGGAAGCUGAAGUUCGUUUCAACCUUUCCUGAUGGGAGCGCUUGCAAACCACACUGUGCCUGCAGCCUCACCUGCAUUUCCAGGUGGGUUCUCCAGACCCCUUGCUGUUAUCACAGUUCUUUUCUUAAGUAGUUACCAGUGCUUUGGGGAGUCAGGGAAUAAACCCCCAAACAACACAUGAACCUAGUCAGCGGUAGCAUUUGAUUCCUAUGCCAAGACCAAAGCAAAACCACAGAAUCAAUAAAGCCAGGUGACAAUCCUUAAAAAACCUUAAGACCCAGAGACCCCAAAGCAUGGCAGCCAGCCUCUCCCCCAGCAGGAAGAGCCAACACAUUAAAAAUAAACGGUCUUUAUUGCGUCCACGAAAACAAAGUCGAGGUGGCCCUUGGUUAACCUCAAAAAGGUGACAACGAACAGGAGGCAUGCAUGAGCACAUGACAACAUCUCUGAAGGAGUGAAGUCUUGCCCUCCCAGGCCCUAAGGGUCAGAGGCAAGCAGGGCCAGGAGGCUCCAGAGGAAGGCACGCCCAGGCCUACCAGAACGUGAAGGGCCCGAGUCUGCUGCCUCCCUGGUGGGAGCAGGCAGGGGGAGCAAGCACUGCUCAGGGCUAGGCCCAGCCCCCAAAGCUAGAACACACAGAAAAGCCCCCACCCCCACCCCCAGCACA